AGGCCGCCUGCAAAACUCUCUCCUCUGAUUGGCCAGGAGAGGAGCACCCUUUUGCGAAAGUAUUGGUUACCCCGUGGGAUAAGACCUCCCCUCACCUACAUGUAAACGGGCCGUUUACGUUUGAAUGUGUGUUCGUGUGACUGCGAUUCCAGCCAGCUGGCGCGGAGGGAGUGAGCCCUGACCUGGAGCGGGCAGGGCAGGAGGCGGCCCAGCCGUUACCGAAGGCGCCCCCCCUCACCCAGGGAUGUUUUACUAGGAAAGGCCCACGCUGCCUAGAGCACGUGGGGCCAGCCCAGGGAGGCCUGAGCUGAUCUCCCGGCGUGGGAUUUGAGCCUGUUGUGCCAGGGAACAUGUAGUACCACUAACACUGCCUGCCCCUCCCUAGCAGCUGUGACAGACAGCACGGAGCCGGCCUGGCAGCUACUGAGGAAAAUAGAAAAGAGCAAAAACCUCGAGCAAGCCCAGUGAAAAAGUAUGAAGAAUUUGAACUAGAUUGAUGUCAGACUAACCUGCCUCUGAUUACUUUGGUCAUCUGUUUAAACUUUUGACUACUAGCACAACAGUAGCACUUUUCCAGUCUCCUGCAAUAUCUCUGCUAUUCCAAGAUUAAAAAUAAUCAGCAAGCCUUGAAGUUCUUUGCCAACACUUAUGACCGUUGCAUGCAAAUUAUUCAGGCCUACUGACAACUUCUGAUUUGACAAAACGCAAAGAAGGUACCAAUGUGAGAUUUCUAAAGAUAGCUACAGCACUCAACCCAAGGUUAAGAAUCUGAAGUGUCUUCCAAAAUCUGAGAGGGAUGAGGUGUGGAGCUUGCUUUCAGAAGUCUUCAAAGAGCAACACUCCAAUGCAGAAACUACGGAACCCAGACCACCAAAAAAGAAAAUCAACCUUCUGCUGGUGGCAUCUGA